UCACAAUAAAUAAAUAAAUAAAAUGAAUGGAGACGUGACUCUGCCCUUGCCCUAGUAAGCGAACCGCCGCAUACUGUUGUUCUUCCCCGCUCGCGCAGGCGGAACGAUGUUUGCUUCUGGUCUCCGAUUGGAUCUCUCCCACAGGUCUCGCCUGUCUUUCGUAUGGGAGAAUCGGCAUGGAUCGGAUGACUCUGUUCCGGAGCGGCGUCAUCGCCGAGGCGGCUCUUACUGGCAUUCCUCCGGUAGGGUCUGCCGUCUUCCAAUCCCUAAACGAGUCCGGUAAAAUAAAUUUGUGCUUGGCCAUUGACUAUGUCGUCUGUUCCGCCGACGGGAUAGCCAGUCGCGGCCUCAUUCACAUGGCUGCGGCCGCACUCGAUCUCGUGAAAUCUGGCAUGCAGAUGAGUGUGUUCAUGUUAAUUAAGUCUUCUAGAGUUUUGAUCAUGCCUCUGCCGGAUCCGGUUAACUGGCAUCUCGCGAUCGACAAGAUCUAUUUGACGAAGAUCCAUAAUUUCUACUACUGUUUAGUUCAACACAAAUUUCACUCGGAAUAAUUUCAGAUCUACUCGUCGAAGUACAAGAGCAUCUCCACUUAUUCGGCCUCUUGCUAAAAGACCAAAGGGUAUCGGUGCUGACACUGCUACGAUACAAAGCUCUAGGGAGUUGCAAGUUCGGAUUUUAUUAGUUGUGGAAGAAGUAUUACUGUGAUAUCGUUGGCCCGGAGUAUGCUAUCAAAAUAUAACACUCUAAUCUACCUGGCCCCCUUUAAGGCUGUUAAGUGCGAGUGCUGAGGGUUUGCUUGAGAUUUGAGUGAUGGACUACUCAGUUUUGUUAAAUCAGAAGGAGCAUUGGUGUAUGAUCUUUUCUUACUGGCUCUUGACUAAAUUUUCAUUUGAUCUGCUUGAUAAUUAAGAUUGGGGUCUUAAUGCAGGAUGUACUAGGUGGCUACUCCCACUUCAAGAAUGUCAGAUUUCUCAUGAGUUUAUUUAUUUUUUUUGUUACACUCUUUGAUUUUGAUUAGCUUUUUAUGAUUGUUAUUUUGUUUAUUGUGUAUUCUUUCUAGACCAUAAAUUCAUAUUUGCCCAACGUCAAGAUAAGUAAGCAAAGAAAAAGUUUUUUUUUUUUUUUUGCAUGUUCUUGAUGAAAAUUGUUACUAAGAAAUGUGGUUCAUCCAUCAUGAUAACUGUUAAUGCUGGUAACUUGCAAGUGUCACAAUUGUCCUUCCAAUUGAUCCUUUCUGUUACUAGGGAAAUCUUAUAUGGCUUAGUUUGACAAUACUUUGGACUCUAGAUUUGUUUCCCUUCUAUUUUUGGUUUCUUCUUGAGUCACUACUCCCUAUGAAUAUUGAUACAAGUAAAUUAAGCCAUGUGUUUCAACUACUUGGAUUGACCACUAGAUGUUAUUCUACCACAGACCUCUAUGGAAGGAAAUUCUCAUUAGCAAUACUUGUUAAUUUAAUUAACCAUAUUUGUUUACAUUGACAGUGGUAUAUUUUCCUAUAUUUACUAUUGUUUUUUGAUUAACAGAUCCAGACAACUAUUUUUUAUGAAUUAACUAUUUUUAAGAAAAAAACUAUGGACCAAGUUAAGUGAAUUUUCAAUAGCAGUUUUAAAUUUCUCCAAAACUAGAUUUAUGAAAUUUCACAAAUGACAUGCCUUAGUGUUAAGCUUCCUUGUAUAAUACCUUUGACCAAUGCACUCUUUCCAUUAGCAAUGGUACAUAAUUAAAACUAUCUACAUUUCCUGCCUUUUAUUCUCUACCUUUGUCAUUACUUUUGUUGCCUCCAUGUAUCUUUAUUCUAAUUCUGUGUGAAUGUCAAAAAAAGUAGAGUUCAUGCAUAUUACUAUAUAUAUAUAUUUUUCUUUCAGAUGUAGUCAAAAGGUAUUAACAUCAGAAACACAAAAUUGAAGGUAUUGGAAUGCUCAUUGUUUUGUUCCUGUAAUUGAUUACCAGAUGUUUUAACUGCUUAUCACUCUAUUGUUGUUUUAUUUAGUCUUGAAGGCAGAAAAAGUUUUAGAAUCACUUACACGCCUAUCCUAGAUUACCAUUUUUUGAAAUCUAUUCCAUAUUCGUUAAUGACUUAGGCAUUCUCCUUUUUCAUUCUAUUAAAAUCCACUAAUUCAAUCAUGCUCAUGUUGCCUGUUUUUUCUCAUUAUUCUUCUCUUAACAUUCAAAUAAUUUACAGGUGUUUAAUGUUGUUAUUUUCUUUCAUGCAUGAUUGUCUUUUACCUUUAAUCAUAUACUAUUGCUAAUAUAUGAAUGCAUUAUGUAGGGUAAACCAACUAUUAAUGAUAUUUGAUCAGCACAUUUCUGGCCAUGUAGGUUGGCUUCAUGCCUAUGCUAAAGAUUUUGGCCAUGUAACGUCCGGAAUUGUGGUUUUCAUAAUAUUAGGCUUCUCUUACAUCACACGCAAUUUGAAAAAAGGCAUAUGUUGGUACCAUGAUGAGAUCAUUUAAAACUUGUUGAAACUGCCUACAAAUAAUCUUUUUUCACAACCAAAGAGCUGGUGUAGCAAACAGUCCAGCUUAGAUUGAGUUUUGUUGGUGUUUUUCUGUGUGAUUGUUUCUCAUUUUGUGGACAAUCUUCUCUCUUUCCUAAACAACACCAAGGGCUGUUGGUGAUGUACGGUUUGCCAUUUUUCUCAUUUGAAAUUUCAUGUUUAAUUUUUCAUGUACAGAUAAUGUCUUUUCCCAUAAACUAGGCUGUGAAUAAACUUGGGCUAGUUUUGCUAGCGAGCUUUCCUUUGGUAUAAUAAUGAGUAGAACUCUUAACGGUGCUCAAUGGGGAACUAUGACGCAUUCAAAGUUUUGGUUGGCCUGUUAGUACCCUCCUAUUUCUCAGUCUUCUGUUGAUGUGAAAGUAAUAUGCUUUACACAACUGGAGUGGCUCUGCUGCUUUUCCUGUUGCAGAGGUAUGAUGACAGGAAAGCAGUUGCUUAAUUGUGUAGAGAUUCUUUUUGCAGCCUUAAAGUUUUUUGUCAAAGAUUUAUAUUCUUUCAGAACAAUGCAUUAUUUACUUUCAAGAUUUAUCGAUCUUUUCUAUGAUCUGUUCCUAUUUCCCUGACCAUUCAUUACAUAUGGUGAUAUUUCAUUUGGAAUCCGAUAAAAUAGAAAGGUUGUCAAUAGGUAUGGAAUCUUGACUCUUCAUAGAGGCAAGUUAUGAAACUUUUUUUCUCAUUCUCUUGAGAUUUCUAUGUCAGUGUUUUAUUAUAUGUUUAUCUUAUGUGUAUCUUAUAGGUGUGGAAGCCUCGCUAACAGUAUUCCCUACUAGAUUCCAAUAGUAUUAACACCCUUUGCCCAGUUGUUUAGAACAAUUCCCUACAAUGUUAAACUGCAUUGGCUGGUUAAAACUAAAGCUAAGGUUGCCAAUUUUGACAGCCACAGGUUAUAGGGUUUGGGUUAGGCAAGUUUCAAUAGCAACAUUGAAGCUUAUGCAGAGAAAUAUGGUACAUGCAUACAAGAAACUAGCACAAGGAAGAAAAGAAGGGGAGCAUGUAUGACAUAAAUGUUCACCCGAUACAAUCUUCCAAUAGUUAAAGCUGUAUUUUCCUGCUUGCAAUCCUACAAGAAAGUUUCGCAAUUCUCAAGAUACAGGACAUGUAUUUUCCUGAUUACGAUACUACAAGAAAGUUUAGCAAGUCUCAAGAUACAGGACAUGUAAAUCAAUAAAUUAUAAGACAAGGAAGAAAAGGGGGCUUAUAUUGACAAAUGUUCACCCAAUACCAAUCUUUGGAUAGUUGGAACUCUAUUUUCUUGCUCGUGAUUUGAAGUAUUGCAAUUUUCAAGAUA